UUUCCGUAGGUGAACCUGCGGAAGGAUCAUUACCGAGUGCGGGCCCUCGUGGCCCAACCUCCCACCCUUGUCUCUAUACACCUGUUGCUUUGGCGGGCCCACCGGGGCCACCUGGUCGCCGGGGGACAUCUGUCCCCGGGCCCGCGCCCGCCGAAGCGCUCUGUGAACCCUGAUGAAGAUGGGCUGUCUGAGUACUAUGAAAAUUGUCAAAACUUUCAACAAUGGAUCUCUUGGUUCCGGCAUCGAUGAAGAACGCAGCGAAAUGCGAUAAGUAAUGUGAAUUGCAGAAUUCCGUGAAUCAUCGAAUCUUUGAACGCACAUUGCGCCCCCUGGCAUUCCGGGGGGCAUGCCUGUCCGAGCGUCAUUUCUGCCCUCAAGCACGGCUUGUGUGUUGGGUGCGGUCCCCCCGGGGACCUGCCCGAAAGGCAGCGGCGACGUCCGUCUGGUCCUCGAGCGUAUGGGGCUUUGUCACUCGCUCGGGAAGGACUGGCGGGGGUUGGUCACCACCAAAAUUUUACCACGGUUGACCUCG
rnacentral:rRNA from 1 species